rnacentral:rRNA from 1 species
AGCUGCGAUAAAUAGUGCGAAUUGCAGACGCAUUGAGCACAAAGAUUUCGAAUGCACAUUGCACCAUUGGGUUGAUUCCCGAUGGGUACGUCUGGUUGAAGGUCAAU